GGAGCUUGCUCCCUUAGGUUAGCGGCGGACGGGUGAGUAACACGUGGGUAACCUGCCUGUAAGACUGGGAUAACUCCGGGAAACCGGGGCUAAUACCGGAUGCUUGAUUGAACCGCAUGGUUCAAUUAUAAAAGGUGGCUUUUAGCUACCACUUACAGAUGGACCCGCGGCGCAUUAGCUAGUUGGUGAGGUAACGGCUCACCAAGGCGACGAUGCGUAGCCGACCUGAGAGGGUGAUCGGCCACACUGGGACUGAGACACGGCCCAGACUCCUACGGGAGGCAGCAGUAGGGAAUCUUCCGCAAUGGACGAAAGUCUGACGGAGCAACGCCGCGUGAGUGAUGAAGGUUUUCGGAUCGUAAAACUCUGUUGUUAGGGAAGAACAAGUACCGUUCGAACAGGGCGGUGCCUUGACGGUACCUAACCAGAAAGCCACGGCUAACUACGUGCCAGCAGCCGCGGUAAUACGUAGGUGGCAAGCGUUGUCCGGAAUUAUUGGGCGUAAAGCGCGCGCAGGCGGUUUCUUAAGUCUGAUGUGAAAGCCCCCGGCUCAACCGGGGAGGGUCAUUGGAAACUGGGGAACUUGAGUGCAGAAGAGGAGAGUGGAAUUCCACGUGUAGCGGUGAAAUGCGUAGAGAUGUGGAGGAACACCAGUGGCGAAGGCGACUCUCUGGUCUGUAACUGACGCUGAGGCGCGAAAGCGUG
rnacentral:rRNA from 1 species